rnacentral:misc_RNA from 1 species
UACGAGUGCCCCAAGCGUUACCCGGUGUCACUGGGCGUAAAGCGUGUCUAGGUGGUUUAGUUAGUCUUUCGUUAAAGACACAGGCUUAACCUGUGGAGUGCGGAAGAAACGGCUAAACUAGAGGAUGUGAGAGGUAAGCGGAACUCACGGUGUAGGGGUGAAAUCCGUUGAUAUCGUGGGGAACACCAAAGGCGAAGGCAGCUUACUGGCGCAUUCCUGACACUCAAACACGAAAGCGUGGGUAGCGAAUGGG